GAAGGAUUAGAUCAAGAUUCAAAGCUAAAAAGGUAUAACCAAGUUUUUAUUUUUGAUCUUUGUUGCUUGAGAAUUUUUUGUGUUUAUGUGUUUAAGAUAUUGCUAGAAGAUGUUUUUAGUGGUUAUAUGAUGAUCCAUGAUGGAUCCAUAGCACCAAAGUGAGUAAAAGUACGUUUUUCUAAAAUUGUUCAAGAACAAAAUCUGUGGUCUGACAACCUAAUGUCAGGCGCCACAGAUCGUUACUCGUUUGUUGUUUUUGUUAUUUAAAAGCUUUAAGUUAUAGCCUGGUAUAUGGUCUUUAGUCUGCAAAAGAAAUCAGAGCUAUUUUAUGUCAGGAUCAGGAGUUAUUAACGGUCAAAACCCGUUGACCGGGAUUGACCGAGUAAAAAUCUGGGUUACCCAGAAAGUGAAAAACCGAACCUGACAAGAUCUUUGAAGGUCCCUAUCUGUCCGGUUGAUUGUUGUUUGUUGAUGUUGUUGUAUGCAUGUUGUAGACUGUAAUAUCGAGUCCAAGAACCUGCCUUUAUAUUCCAUAAACAUCAAAUGUAUUGGAUUUUAUGGAUGGUCAAACUAGACCACCCGAACUGAUUAUUACUUUUCUGGAAAACCCAGAAACAGUUAGAACAACUGUUCUGACAUACUUUGACCAUAUGUUUCAUGUUGAUUCGGUUGUUGAUAAACAAAUUUCUUGCUUUAGUAUUGUUCACUGACACAUGGACUACAUGUUCAAACUUUUAUAUCACAUAAACAAUGAACCGAAAGCAGAAAUAAUUGAGGUUGAAUAUGGCAACUCGAACUGCUCAUGCCCAGAAAAUUCCCAGGUCACGUUGUCAGUGAUUUUAG
rnacentral:lncRNA from 1 species